UACGUAGGGGGCUAGCGUUGUCCGGAAUCAUUGGGCGUAAAGCGCGCGUAGGCGGCCCGGUAAGUCCGCUGUGAAAGUCAAAGGCUCAACCUUUGAAUGUCAGCGGAUACUGCCAGGCUAGAGUCCGGAAGAGGCGAGUGGAACUCCUGGUGUAGCGGUGAAAUGCGCAGAUAUCAGGAGGAACACCGAUGGCGAAGGCAGGUCUCUGGGCAUUAACUGACGCUGAGGAGCGAAAAGCAUGGGGGAGCGAACAGGA
rnacentral:rRNA from 1 species